rnacentral:rRNA from 1 species
CCCUUAGAUGUUCUGGGCCGCACGCGCGCUACACUGAUGAAUGCAACGAGCUCUACCCUUGACCGAAAGGCCCGGGUAAACUUGUGAAACUUCAUCGUGAUGGGGAUAGAUUAUUGCAAUUAUUAAUCUUCAACGAGGAAUUCCUAGUAAGCGCGAGUCAUCAGCUCGCGUUGAUUGCGUCCCUGCCCUUUGUACACACCGCCCGUCGCUCCUACCGAUUGAAUGGUCCGGUGAAAUCUUCGGAUUGCUGACCAAGAUCCAGCAAUGGAGCUUGGUUGCGAGAAGUUGAUUAAACCUUAUUAUUUAGAGGAAGGAGAAGUCGUAACA